AGAAGACAAGGGGGACAGAGUCAUAGUUCAACUGUCCAGAUAGAAAGGUGGACAUGGAAAAAUUGGGCUUUGCAAACAGUCACCCAAUUCUUGCCUUCCUGGUCCCUGGAUCACCCUUCCUAUACCACCACUGUGGAGAAAGAAGUACAGGACACUAACAAGGUACAACUACUUUCUACCCUGCCAGGACUUGACUUAAAAGAUGACCAUGCACAGAACAUUGCCCAAGAUGCUUGCCUUUCCUCUUUGCAGACAUGAUUUGGCAGGAAUUUAGUCUUCCAUUUAGGCGAUUAAGGAUGUGGUUUGAUGUUUCUAUUUAAUCUUUAUGCAGCGGCCUUCAUGAGCCAGGUCAAAUCUCAUCAAAGUUUCAAGUGAAAAGCAGUUGUUCUUUGCCCACUGAACUCAAAUAUUUUAUCAUAAGUCUUCACUAAAUGCCUAAUGUAUGCAGCAAAAAAAUAAAUAUAAGUCACAGAAAAACAUUUAAAGAAACAUGUUCAGAAUCCAUAACUAAAAAACUAAUAUAAAGCAAAUCAAAGAAGGUAAUUUAGGCCUAGGAGUUAGAGGACUAGAAUUAUUCAGGCCAUGUGGCUUAAAUGCUUAUAGAAUAGUGGUUUCUGGCACAGUCUCUCGAGUCAGAAUGCCUCAUUCAAAUCCUGGGUCUUUCAUUGACUACCUAUGCAACUUUGGGUUAUCACAAAGUUUAAUUAAUAUACAUAAAACACUCACACCAGUAUUUCACACAGAGGGUAAGUGUUAGCUAAUGCCGUUGUUAUUAUUGGUGUUGCUAUUAUGAGCUACAAAACAUGAACAAUUGAAUUCUAUCUUUGGGCAGCAAUGUCUUUAUUCAUAAAAUGAGGGCAAGAUAUUAUCUUUUCUAACUAUGUUCUGAAAUGACUUGGGGCUCCUCUGCCCCAUCCCAUUCUACAUUUUAUUCAUUUUAUUCAUCAUCUUGGGGUUUCAUGUACUUUUUUACUUGCAGAAAGGACUCUAAAAAACAAGUUGCAAAUCACUAGGCCAGAUGGUAUAAGGUCUGUCUUCAACGAAAGUUU
rnacentral:lncRNA from 1 species